CGAUUCGGUUGACCGUUUUAUGUGUGGAUUAAUUGUCGGAGUAGAGGACCUUGUGCAUUUCAGAGGGGGCUACUUGCUAUAGCAGCUUCAUUCACUCUUCUUCUACUAACUACUUGCUCGCACUAGUUUGAGAGAAAACUGCUGUGGAAAACUCGGCCAGAAGCUAGUAAGUGUCAAAGUGAAUCCAAAACAUCACCACAAACGUCUUCAAGCCAGAGUGGAGAGGAGGAAGACUGGAUAGGAAGAAGAGUGAAAGAGAUAGAGGAGGAAAGGUAAAGAUAUGAUUACAGAGCCCGAAAAUGUAUUAUUCCAAACAAUGUUUUUGAGAUGAAAUACAGAAAUGAUGCAAGCAAUGGGAAUCUGUUAACCAAAGUAUUUGAUCUAAUAGUGUAUUAUUUAUUAUUACAGAUUGGAGAGGAAGGAGAAGGAACAAUUAAGGGAGUAAAAAAAGUGAAGAGAGGAGAGAAGAAGAGUGAGGUGGAAAGGUGAAGAGGAGGAAAGGAAGAAAGAGAAGGAAGAUGAGUGAAGAAAAGAGAGAUUGGAGAAAAAGUUAAGAGUAAGAAGAGUGACACAAUGAGAGUGAAGAAGAGCAGAGGUACAAUGGUUCUUUCCAAGAAACGGAAAAUGCCAUUUUAAUGGCAACAUGAGAGAAUUUCCGUUUAUACGCUCAGGUCAAGACGAUAGAAUGGUUCACAGAAACCUUUGUUAUUCCUCUUUUCCCAAUUGGCAGCGGGGGAAGAACGGCAGUGGUAGAACAUCAACAGACGAAAAAGCAUAAAGCCUCUCUGAUUGGCCGUGUUGGUUUGCCCUCUGUCACCACAUUCUUCAAGAAGGUAGAGCCUUCCCAAGAAGAAUAUGGUUUAGCUGUGCAGGAGGGUGUCUUUGCAUACCACACUAUGCAAUCAUAGUUACCGAUCUAUGGACUGCAUAGCACAACUGACACGGAAGCUUUAUGAGCCAAAGUUUACAUGUGCUAGGACAAAAUGUGACACCAUAGUGAGUCAAAUAUAUGAAUGCAGCACAUCUGUGGAAACAAAACAGUUUGAUUUUGUUGAAUUGAAAGGAGAAACAGCAGAGGAAAUUGCAUCCGAGGUCCUGGCGGUCAUCUAAAAAUGUAACCUGGAAAACAAAGUCGUGGCAUUCUCUGCCGACAACACAAAUACCAACUUUGGAGGACUGAAUAGGCUGGGGAGGGUUAAUGUCCAUACCAAAGUUUAAAAGGCUCUGCAGCGGGAGGUGAUUGGCUUAGGUUGUCCUGCCCACAUCAUUCAUAACACGGUCAGAACAGCUUUGGAUAUGAUUCCCCUUGAUGUUGAUUACCUGCUCACAAAGAUAUUUUCACAUUUUCACCGUCAGAGUAGAAAGACUGAAGAGCUUUUGUGAGUUUGUUGGCCAGGAGUACCAUAACAUUUUAGGACACUGCGAUGUUCGCUGGCUGUCCAUGCUCCCUGCUCUAGAAAGGGUGCUGAAAAUAUAUGUGCCAUUUGAAAUCCUUUUUUCUUUAUGAAGACACAUGCCCUGUUGUCCUGUGAACAAUGUUUGAAGGUCAAUUGGCUGGCCUUUGUCCAUGGAAACCUGACCUUAUUCAGUGACAUGAUCAAGAUGCUUAAAGGCCAGGACCGCUGUGCUGUGGAGUCAACUGCAAUUCUGAGAAACGUUGAGGCAAAAUUGACUGCAAGACAUGAUGACAACUUCAUUCCAGUUUUGGUCAGAGGACUUCUGAGAGAGCUAGAGGAAAAUGGAGACAUGUCCAAAGAGAGCUUUCUUGAAAAAUCCCAAUCAUUCUUCACUACGGGUGUGAAUUACUUGCAAGCAUGGGGAAAGCACACAAAUAAUCUUAAAAUAUUUAUUUGGUCUCCUUUUUAAAAGGCAACCUCAGCGUGAAGAGAUCCAGAAGGCAGCAGCCACACUGCAGGAAAAAUGCCCCAAUGUGACCAUCGAUUAGGAUGCAUUGUUUGACGAGGUUACUGGCCUGCAAGAGUUCCUAAAGGUGGGAUCACUUAAAGAAUGGAAAACAUCUGAGACAACGCUUAGUCAGAUAUGGAGCAUGGUGGUUACACACUUCAAAGAGAACAACAUCCCACACACUAACCUGGCUAAAUUAGCGUCUGUUGUCAUGUGCUUACCUGGAAGUAAUGCACCAGUCGAGAGAGUGUUCUCCCAAAUUAAUGAUAUAUGGACAGCAGCAAGAAAUAGGUUCACUGUUCCGACCAUCAAGGCCGUGCUUAUUGUGAAGACAAACUUCAUCCUCCCCUGCCAGGAGUUCAUGGAGAAGCUGGCCAAAGACAGACCAAUCCUGAAGAAAAUACAUUCUUCUGAAAAAUAUACAGAUUAGGUUGGUAUAGGUAUGUUAUGUAGUUACCAAUCUCAUCAGCAUCUUAUUUCUUUAUUAUAAGUAUUUCACAUAUACUAUUGUCUGUUGUUUCAAUUUUGCUCAUGUUCUCUUCUGUUCUUAUUCUACCCAGACUACCAGGACCACUGAAUGGCUGUUCAGAUCAGACAGUUCUGUCUUGUCUGUAGUGUUUCUGUAAUAUAGUUGUUUUCUCUGUCUACCACAGUGGCUGUUAGAUUAAAUAAAUGAAACCGGAAUUGUC